rnacentral:pre_miRNA from 1 species
UUAUGUGUGUGUGAUUGGUCGCUGAUUUUGAAGUGGCUUGUUAGACACACUGGCAC